CAUCGUUUCAAAUUGGUAAGAAAUUAAUCAUUGAUAUAUUUGAGUAAUUUAGUUAUGUAUUUCUUACUACCCCGACUUUCAAACAUUGAGUGCAUCUAUUUGGCUGUUCGCUUCCUGCUAUUGGAUAUGUCCGAUUCUUCCACAUCUAUACGUAAAACGGACUUGGGACUCGUACCAUAUUCUGUUACUAAUAGACUCUUAUCUUCGAAAUCUCAGGAUUUUUCAUCAGCGUCUGGAAACGUAAAUUGACAUUAUGAUUUAUCCAACAUUUCUUGAUAUACUGUAGUCAUAACAGACAUACACUAUAUAUUCGUGCAUGGAUUACAUGCAAUCUCCAUUUAUAUUACACUGGCACAGCAUGCAAAUUAAGUGUUUAAAUAUAUUAAUUACACAACAUGUUAACUUUUCCUUAUUUUUAAACUUAUUAGUCCUAUGAACCAGGCUGCCACUUCACACGUCACCUGCGCCUUUUUGUACUACUCAAGAAUCUGCGUAUCACAUGGACAACGAAAAUUUGAGCACCUUAACUUGGUUGUUUAAUUACGGGGAAUUUGAAAACACUGGUAUACCAAGACUAAAAUAGAACCACUACCAAAACUACAGUCUGUGGUACAUUUACAUUGGUGAUUUACAGAUCCAAUCUACUCAUUGUCGAAGUAAUUAAUGAAAUUUCGUCCAAAAAAACACACGUACAUUCCCUUCCGUGGCUGGAUUAAAACCAAAGUCAAGUACGAACUGUUACCUUGUUAACAGUGGCUUCAUCGAUUAUAAUUGUGAUUCAUGGUUCAGACUCGAGAAUCCUAUGAUCACAUUGGAUCUCCUAAUGUAAUGGAUUAAUGAUAAUGUCAAUGUUACAUUAUAGAAGAUGAGUAUUGAAUAGUACAACGGUCUCUAUUCUUCAAGACGAAAUCAUGCUGAAUAUGAUCACGUGAUUUUCUUUGUGG